CCAGAGUUCAAGAAUGUCCAAAUUGUUAACAUGAUCACCAAUUGCGGAGUAAAAUUCAAGAAUGAUAUUUAAGAUUCAUAGUUCAAUGAUACUUUGGACAAAGAAAAAAACUAAAUUUUAUCGUGAAUAGUACUUUGGCCUGAAUAGUUUCUCGGAUGAAUAAUACUCCGGCAUAAAUAGUACCCCGGAUGAAUAAUACUCCAG
rnacentral:lncRNA from 1 species